AAAGCGUCCGCAGGCGGCCUUGAAAGUCUGUUGUUAAAGCGUGGAGCUCAACUCCAUUUCAGCAAUGGAAACUACAAGGCUAGAGUGUGGUAGGGGCAGGAGGAAUUCCCAGUGUAGCGGUGAAAUGCGUAGAUAUUGGGAAGAACACCAGCGGCGAAAGCGUCCUGCCAAGCCAAAACUGACACUCAUGUACGAAAGCUAGGGGAGCGAAUGGGAUUAGAUACCCGAGU
rnacentral:rRNA from 1 species